CUGCGAAUGGCUCAUUAUAUAAGUUAUCGUCUAUUUGAUAGUACCUUACUACUUGGAUAACCGUGGUAAUUCUAGAGCUAAUACAUGCUAAAAAUCCCGACUUCGGAAGGGAUGUAUUUAUUAGAUUAAAAACCAAUGCCCCCUGGGCUCUCUGGUGAUUCAUGAUAACUUCUCGAAUCGCAUGGCCUUGUGCCGGCGAUGGUUCAUUCAAAUUUCUUCCCUAUCAACUUUCGAUGUUUGGGUAGUGGCCAAACAUGGUUGCAACGGGUAACGGAGGGUUAGGGCUCGACCCCGGAGAAGGAGCCUGAGAAACGGCUACUACAUCCAAGGAAGGCAGCAGGCGCGCAAAUUACCCAAUCCCGACCCGGGGAGGUAGUGACAAUAAAUACUGAUACAGGGCUCUUUUGGGUCUUGUAAUUGGAAUGAGUACAAUUUAAAUCCCUUAACGAGGAACAAUUGGAGGGCAAGUCUGGUGCCAGCAGCCGCGGUAAUUCCAGCUCCAAUAGCGUAUAUUAAAGUUGUUGUGGUUAAAAAGCUCGUAGUUGAACCUUGGGCCUGGCUGGCCGGUCCGCCUCACCGCGAGUACUGGUCCGGCCGGGCCUUUCCCUCUGUGGAACCCCAUGCCCUUCACUGGGUGUGGCGGGGAAACAGGACUUUUACUUUGAAAAAAUUAGAGUGCUCCAGGCAGGCCUAUGCUCGAAUACAUUAGCAUGGAAUAAUGAAAUAGGACGUGCGGUUCUAUUUUGUUGGUUUCUAGGACCGCCGUAAUGAUUAAUAGGGACAGUCGGGGGCAUCAGUAUUCAAUUGUCAGAGGUGAAAUUCUUGGAUUUAUUGAAGACUAACUACUGCGAAAGCAUCUGCCAAGGAUGUUUUCAUUAAUCAGGAACGAAAGUUAGGGGAUCGAAGACGAUCAGAUACCG
rnacentral:rRNA from 1 species